UUUUGAGUAAAUGCAGGGAUAGCCUGUCUUUAGCCUCUACUUUUCAAGGGGGUGGUCUUAAAUUUAGAGUCAUCUUGGAUUCGGGCAAAUACAGUAAUCUGUGCCUUGGCCGCUCAUGUCAAGAGCUUUGAAGCUGGAAGGGGAUGAAGAGCUGUCGCUGCUGCAGCCAUUGUCACAAUCACCAUGGAACCUGCUGCCGCCACGGCCGUUUUCCUAAGAGCUUGCUUGAUAGGUAAUGGGCAUUGAUUUGGGAACUGAAGGCGUGAAUGAAGAAUAUAUCGUCCCCCCUCCCCAGAUCAAGGACAUGUCCAGGUCAAGGACAUGAAAUACUUAAAGACCAUCCCUUCACAGAUCACUUCUUCCUGGGGUUCCAGCGGAAUAUGUUACUUCUAAAGUUCCAGGUCAAUGAAUCAUUCAGCUGAAGCUUGGUUUUUUAAUUGAGGCUUCCUCAUGUAGAAUAAUGCCUCUUGUUCCUGUUCUUUGAUGUGAGAUAUUUUUACAUCAAGCAUUGAAAUCCUCUUCUGAAGUAAGGUCUCACAAGACCAACAGCAUUGUAAAGAAAUGGCUACAAGAACACAUAACACUAAUUACAAUGCAAGACAAGGAGCAGAGCGAGGAAAUCAAUCUGCUAAAGUAGCAAACAGAAGAAGAACUGAAAGAAAUCAAGUUGACAGAAACCAAAGAGCAAAUGAAAAGGGGGGAAACCAGAGAAAAGAAAGAAUUAGCUUCAAUAACAACAUAAUAUGCUGAUUACAAUGCAAGGAGAAGAGCAAAACAAGCAAACCAAUCAGUUGAAAAAGCAAAUAGAAGAACUAUACGAAAUCAAGCAGACAGAAAGCAAAAUGCUAACAAAGAAAACCAACAAAGAGAACAACAAAAACAACAAAACAAAAAAGGAAACAGGUAGAUGAUAGUUUGGAAUCAAGAGAACAAUGACUAAGCAAACAAAGGCAAGCUAAAUGGCAUCGAUUAAUAGAACGUGCACAAGAUGCAAAUAACUUCCUAAAUGAAGAUACCAAUGAAGAACAUAACUGUGGAAAUAUGACUCAAACUUGCAAUUACUGCGGCGCAGUUUAUUGGCUGAAUGAACUUAACUCCACCAAAAAAUACACCAAAUGCUGUCAUGACAGAAAGAUUUCACUCAAAGAUUUUUCAGAAACACCUGAUUUACUUAAAGAACUGUUAAGAACACACUCACCUGAGGGAAAAAAAAUUCCAACAACAUAUCAGAGAAUACAAUGCUGCCUUAGCUUUCGCUUCAGUGGGAGCCGAAAUCAAAACACCACUGGGAAUAGGACCCUACUGUUUUUGUAUUCAUGGACAAAUAUACCAUAUGGUUUCUCCACUGUACCCAAGUGAACAAAACAGACCAGGGUAUGGACAACUGUAUAUAUUCGAUUUGGAAGAAGCAACAAAUAAACGUAUGGAAAACAACCAAGGCUGCUUAAGAAUUGUAAUGGAGAGAUUAGAUGCCAUAUUAAGAAACAUGAAUCCAUUUGCAAAGUCUUAUAAACAAUGCAUAGAAUAAAUCAAACUACUCCAACAGCAAAAGUGAGAAUGGUUUUCAUGGAAGAACCAAACUUAGAUUUAAGAAGUUACAACACACCUACUUCUAGAACUGAAGUUGCAGCAAUAUUUGUGAGUGAUGACAGUGAACCACCAGGCAACCGAGACAUAUGCAUUUAUCCAACCGGAGAUACUUGCAAGAACAUUUCUCUAAUGAACCGCAACACUGACCCAAUGAUGUACCUUUUGCUUUUCUCAAAAGGUGAGUGCAGAUGGCAUAUUGGAAUGCAGCAUGUAGAAGAGAGAUGAUCAGCUAAGCAAGUGCAAGUCACACAGUUGCAGUACGUUGCAUACAGGCUCUCUGUGCGUAGAGGUUUCAGUCUCCUGCAUAGCAGUGGAAAAUUGUUCCAGCAAUACGUCGUUGACGCUUACAUAAAAACGGAGGGAGCUCGAUUAAACUACCUCCGAAUUAAUCAGAAAGAUUUAUGAGUGGAAUAAUACCGAGGACGCUUGGAUGCGAUGCAAACUUGAGCAAAAAUGAGAACUUAAGAACAGGCAAAAUGAUAAUAUUAUCAUCAACAUUCCAAGGCAGCCCACGAUACAUGCAGCAAAAUUAUCAAGAUGCAAGGGUGAUAGUCAGAAAGUUCGGAUGCCCAGAUUUGUUUCUGACCUUCACUUGCAACCCAACUUGGCUGGAGAUAACAAAUGCAAUACAAGGCACUCAAAGACCUGAAAAUAGACCAGACAUAAUAGUCUGAGUUUUUAAAAGGAAAUGAAAUUAACAGCACUCUUGGACGACAUCUUAAAACACCAUCUUUUUGAAAAUGUCAUUGCAUACAUUUAUGUCAUUGAAUUCCAAAAAUGAGGCUUACCACAUGCUCACAUAUUGCUGACAUUAGAUUCAGAAUCAAAAAUAUGCACAAAAGAUUAUAUUGACAGGUAUGUGAGUGCAGAGAUACCCGAUAAGAAUGCCAAUCCAAGGCUGUAUGAAAUUGUUACAAAAUGCAUGAUUCACAGUCCCUGUGGAAUACUAAAUCAGUAUGCACCUUUCAUGAAGGAAGGUAUAUGUUGCAAAAACUAUCCAAAGGGGUUCAGAAACAACACAUAAGAAAAUGUCAAUGGGUACCCUCUCUACAGAAGGUGAACAACAGCUCCCAUUAAAGUCGGGAAGUAUGACGUAGAUAAUUGCUGCUGGGUCAUUCCAUAUAAUCCCUGGGCCUUAAAAAAAAUAAUGCACGUAUCAAUGUAGAAGUAUGCGCCUCUGUCAAGAGUGUUAAGUACCUCUACGAAUAUGUCUACAAAGGACAUGCCGCAUCAGUCAGACUAGAAAAGAAAAAAAAGUACUGGAGUGGUUGAUCAUGAUGAAAUAGUAACAUUUCUUUAUGGAAGAUAUGUUAGUGCCAUAGAGGCAAUGUGGUGAAUGAAUGAGUUCACCAUGACAGAAAAGUCACAUUAAAUAAUCCGAUUACCAGUACAUUUGCCAGAACAACAACAAGUAAUCUUCACGAAGGACAAGAAGACCAGGCCAUUGCAACAGCAUCUACAAAACAAACCAGGUUAACUGCAUGGUUCAAACUAAAUCAAGCAGACAAACAAGCACAUAACUGCACUUACACAGACAUUCCAAAGUACUAUAUCCAUGAUAAGAAUGAGAAAAAAUGAAAAAAAAAAACGCCAACAAGGAGGAAGAGUGAUUGGAAGAAUGCUGGUAGUUAGUAUCAAAGACACUGAAAGAUACUAUCUGCAAAUGUUACUCACACAAAACAUGGGUGCAAUUGCUUCCAACACUCUUAAGACUGCAAAUGGUGUACUAUGUGAAAGCUUCCAAGAGGCAUGCAGAGAACUAGGACUUCUUGAAGGUGAUCAAAAUUGGCAUGAAACACUAACUGAAGCAGCACAGACACAAAUGCCACACUGCCUACAAAUGCUAUUCGCAAUAAUCUGUGCAUUUGGAGAAGUAGAAAAUGUCCCCAAACAGAAACAUGCAAUGUGUGAAGAUUUGGUGCAUAGAUAUUCAGAGAACACUGGACCACAAUAUGCACUUGCUGAAAUUGAGGGACUAUUAAAGACUUAUGGUUUGAGCCUGAGGAAACCAAAUCUGCCAGUUGUGCAUCUACAAGCAGCUAUUCAAAAUCAGUAUUCCUUGCCAUUAUAGAAGAGCAAGACAAAGUCAGAAUAAAUACAAACUAAACAAUGAACAACAAAUAGCUGUGAAAACUGUACUUGAUGCAAUAUAUGGCAAUCAAAGAGAGAUUCCAAAAUGCUUCUUCCUAGACGGACCAGCAGGAACAGGAAAAACAUUUGUAUAUUCAACACUAUUACACACAAUCCGAGGAAAAGAAGACCAAGCCACACCUGUAGCUUCAACAGGAAUAGCAGCUACUCUACUACCUGGAGGAAGAAUGGCACACUCAGUUUUCAAAAAACCACUAAUCCUGAAUGCUUCAGCUUCAACUUGCGAUAUUAAACCAAACACAACCAAAGCAAGAAACCUCACAGAUACAAAAUUAAUAGUAUGGGAUGAAGCACCAAUGACACAUACUCACGCCUUCCUGGCUGUAGACAGACUUCUCAAAGAUCUUAUAAAAUGCUCCAAACCAUUCGGAGGAAAAACCAUCUUACUGGGUGGAGUUUUCUGUCAAGUCUUGCCUGUAAUCUUAAGAGGAUCAAGAUCUCUAACUGUGGUCAGCUGUUUAAAAAGACAACACCUUUGGAAACAACUUCAUGUAAUGAAGCUCACCCAAAACAUGUGUGCACUGCACACUGAGAAAGAAUUUGCAAAAUGGCUUUUAGAAGUAGGCGAGUAUUAAUGAAGCCAGAGAUUUUAAACCUGAACAUUGUGAACCAGUGGCUUGAAUGAUCUUUAACACAACUUAUUUGGGAGAACUCUAAACUCCCAAGGGUAAAACAAUGGGAGAAUACGCUGUUUUAUAUUAUUCAGUCAUGGCAAAAUCAACAAUUACACAAGACCUAAAAACCAAAUGUAACUACAGGCACUUAUUUAUUAUUUAUUCAUAACUGACACUCAAUUUGUAAACUGCCCAGAGAUUUGUUUUGGGCAGUACAAAUAAGAAUUAAUAUCCAGCAUUAAAUCUGCAGAUGUUUAGAUGUCUGUGAUUAAUUGCACAUUAAUGUAAUUACUCAUAUAUGCAUGCAUGUAUGUUUAGUUUCCUAAAAGUAAUUUGAAAAAGAGAAUUGUCUAGUUUGAAUCAUGCCAAAUUGCCAUCAGUGUUUUAAACUGCUGCUAGACAGGCAGAAACCCAACUGGGUGAUUUUAUUCAAAUAAAAUGAAUUCUUUUUACAUCUCAGUUUUCUUACAGUUUCAU